UACGUAGGGUGCGAGCGUUAUUCGGAAUUACUGGGCGUAAAGCGUGCGCAGGCGGCCGAGCAAGUCGAGUGUGAAAGCCCCGGGCUUAACUUGGGAAUUGCGCUCGAAACUACUUGGCUGGAGUGUGGCAGAGGAAGGUGGAAUUCCAGGUGUAGCGGUGAAAUGCGUAGAGAUCUGGAGGAACACCGAUGGCGAAGGCAGCCUUCUGGGCCAACACUGACGCUCAUGCACGAAAGCGUGGGGAGCAAACAGG
rnacentral:rRNA from 1 species